GACGAACGCUGGCGGCGUGCUUAACACAUGCAAGUCGAACGGAAAGGCCCUGCUUUUGUGGGGUGCUCGAGUGGCGAACGGGUGAGUAACACGUGAGUAACCUGCCCUUGACUUUGGGAUAACUUCAGGAAACUGGGGCUAAUACCGGAUAGGAGCUCCUGCUGCAUGGUGGGGGUUGGAAAGUUUCGGCGGUUGGGGAUGGACUCGCGGCUUAUCAGCUUGUUGGUGGGGUAGUGGCUUACCAAGGCUUUGACGGGUAGCCGGCCUGAGCGGGUGACCGGCCACAUUGGGACUGAGAUACGGCCCAGACUCCUACGGGAGGCAGCAGUGGGGAAUAUUGCACAAUGGGCGGAAGCCUGAUGCAGCAACGCCGCGUGCGGGAUGACGGCCGUCGGGUUGUAAACCGCUUUCGCCUGUGACGAAGCGUGAGUGACGGUAAUGGGUAAAGAAGCACCGGCUAACUACGUG
rnacentral:rRNA from 1 species